GGGUGAUGGCGUGCCUUUUGUAGAAUGAACCGGCGAGUUACGAUCCCAUGCAAGGUUAAGUUGAGAAGACGGAGCCGCAGCGAAAGCGAGUCUGAAUAGGGCGAAUGAGUAUGUGGUCGUAGACCCGAAACCAGGUGAUCUACCCAUGUCCAGGAUGAAGUCCAGGUAACACUGGAUGGAGGUCCGAACCCACGCACGUUGAAAAGUGCGGGGAUGAGGUGUGGGUAGCGGAGAAAUUCCAAUCGAACCUGGAGAUAGCUGGUUCUCUCCGAAAUAGCUUUAGGGCUAGCCUCAUGUUGUAAGAGUCUUGGAGGUAGAGCACUGUUUGGACUAGGGGCCCUCAUCGGGUUACCGAAUUCAGACAAACUCCGAAUGCCAAAGACUUAUCCAUGGGAGUCAGACUGCGAGUGAUAAGAUCCGUAGUCGAAAGGGAAACAGCCCAGACCACCAGCUAAGGUCCCAAAGUAUACGUUAAGUGGAAAAGGAUGUGGAGUUGCUUAGACAACCAGGAUGUUGGCUUAGAAGCAGCCACCAUUUAAAGAGUGCGUAAUAGCUCACUGGUCGAGUGACUCUGCGCCGAAAAUGUACCGGGGCUAAACGUAUCACCGAAGCUGUGGAUUGACACCGUUUGGUGUCAGUGGUAGGAGAGCGUUCUAAGGACUGCGAAGCUAGACCGUAAGGACUGGUGGAGUGCUUAGAAGUGAGAAUGCCGGUAUGAGUAGCGAAAGAUGGGUGAGAAUCCCAUCCACCGAAUGCCUAAGGUUUCCUGAGGAAGGCUCGUCCGCUCAGGGUUAGUCGGGACCUAAGUCGAGGCCGAUAGGCGUAGACGAUGGACAACAGGUUGAUAUUCCUGUACCACCUUUCUUCCAUUUGAGCAAUGGGGGGACGCAGGAGGAUAGGGUAAGCGCACUGCUGGAUAUGUGCGUCUAAGCAGUUAGGCUGAUGAUGAGGCAAAUCCCAUCAUCGUGAAGGCUGAGCUGUGAUAGCGAGCGAAUUAUAGUAGCGAAGUUCCUGAUUCCACACUGCCAAGAAAAGCCUCUAGCGAGGAAGAUGGUGCCCGUACCGCAAACCGACACAGGUAGGCGAGGAGAGAAUCCUAAGGUGAGCGAGAGAACUCUCGUUAAGGAACUCGGCAAAAUGACCCCGUAACUUCGGGAGAAGGGGUGCUCUGGUAGGGUGCAAGCCCGAGAGAGCCGCAGUGAAUAGGCCCAGGCGACUGUUUAGCAAAAACACAGGUCUCUGCGAAGCCGUAAGGCGAAGUAUAGGGGCUGACGCCUGCCCGGUGCUGGAAGGUUAAGAGGAGUGCUUAGCGCAAGCGAAGGUGCGAAUCGAAGCCCCAGUAAACGGCGGCCGUAACUAUAACGGUCCUAAGGUAGCGAAAUUCCUUGUCGGGUAAGUUCCGACCCGCACGAAAGGCGUAACGAUCUGGGCACUGUCUCAACGAGAGACUCGGUGAAAUUAUAGUACCUGUGAAGAUGCAGGUUACCCGCGACAGGACGGAAAGACCCCGUGGAGCUUUACUGUAGCCUGAUAUUGAAUUUUGGCACAGCUUGUACAGGAUAGGUAGGAGCCUUGGAAGCCGGAGCGCUAGCUUCGGUGGAGGCGUCGGUGGGAUACUACCCUGGCUGUGUUGACAUUCUAACCCGCGCCCCUUAUCGGGGUGGGAGACAGUGUCAGGUGGGCAGUUUGACUGGGGCGGUCGCCUCCUAAAGAGUAACGGAGGCGCCCAAAGGUUCCCUCAGAAUGGUUGGAAAUCAUUCGCAGAGUGUAAAGGCACAAGGGAGCUUGACUGCGAGACCUACAAGUCGAGCAGGGACGAAAGUCGGGCUUAGUGAUCCGGUGGUUCCGCAUGGAAGGGCCAUCGCUCAACGGAUAAAAGCUACCCCGGGGAUAACAGGCUUAUCUCCCCCAAGAGUCCACAUCGACGGGGAGGUUUGGCACCUCGAUGUCGGCUCAUCGCAUCCUGGGGCUGUAGUCGGUCCCAAGGGUUGGGCUGUUCGCCCAUUAAAGCGGUACGCGAGCUGGGUUCAGAACGUCGUGAGACAGUUCGGUCCCUAUCCGUCGUGGGCGCAGGAAAUUUGAGAGGAGCUGUCCUUAGUACGAGAGGACCGGGAUGGACGCACCGCUGGUGUACCAGUUGUCUUGCCAAAGGCAUCGCUGGGUAGCUAUGUGCGGAAGGGAUAAGUGCUGAAAGCAUCUAAGCAUGAAGCCCCCCUCGAGAUGAGAUUUCCCAUCACUUUAUGUGAGUAAGAUCCCUGAAAGAUGAUCAGGUAGAUAGGUCAGAGGUGGAAGUGUGGCGACACAUGGAGCUGACUGAUACUAAUCGAUCGAGGACUUAACCAAA
rnacentral:rRNA from 2 species